rnacentral:rRNA from 1 species
UACGGAAGGCAGCAGUGGGGAAUAUUGCACAAUGGGCGCAAGCCUGAUGCAGCCAUGCCGCGUGUAUGAAGAAGGCCUUCGGGUUGUAAAGUACUUUCAGUCGUGAGGAAGGUGUUAAGGUUAAUAACCUUAGCAAUUGACGUUAGCGACAGAAGAAGCACCGGCUAACUCCGUGCCAGCAGUCGCGGUAAUACGGAGGGUGCGAGCGUUAAUCGGAAUUACUGGGCGUAAAGGGCACGCAGGCGGUUAAUUAAGUUGGAUGUGAAAUCCCCGGGCUUAACCUGGGAAUGGCAUUCAAGACUGGUUAGCUAGAGUCUUGUAGAGGGGGUAGAAUUCCAUGUGUAGCGGUGAAAUGCGUAGAGAUGUGGAGGAAUACCGGGUGGCGAAGGCGGCCCCUGGGACAAAGACUGACGCUCAUGUGCGAAAGCGUGGGGAGCAAACAGGGAUUAGAUACC